GAUCCUGGCUUCAGAUUGAAACGCUGGCGGCAGGCCUAACACAUGCAAGUCGAACGGUAACAGGAAGCAGCUUGCUGCUUCGCUGACGAGUGGCGGACGGGUGAGUAAUGUCUGGGAAACUGCCUGAUGGAGGGGGAUAACUACUGGAAACGGUAGCUAAUACCGCAUAACGUCGCAAGACCAAAGAGGGGGGACCUUCGGGCCUCUUGCCAUCGGAUGUGCCCAGAUGGGAUUAG
rnacentral:rRNA from 1 species